rnacentral:rRNA from 1 species
GACGAACGCUGGCGGCGUGCCUAAUACAUGCAAGUCGAACGCAGUGGGGACGGGUGAGUAACACGUGGGUAACCUCCCAUCAGAGGGGAUAACACUUGGAAACAGGUGCUAAACUGAUACUGAUGGAUGGACCCGCGGUGCAUUAGCUAGUUGGUGAAGUAACGGCUCACCAAGGACACGAUGCAUAGCCGAGCUGAAAGGGUGUGCGGACACACGGGGACUGGGAAACGGCCCGGACUCCUACGGGGGGCAGCAGUAGAGAAUCUUCGGCAAUGGACGAAAGUCUGACCGAGCGACGCCGCGUGAGUGAAGAAGGUUUUCGGAUCGUAAAACACUGUUGUUGAAGAAGCGGUAUCUAACCAGAAAGCCACGGCUAACUACGUGCCAGCAGCCGCGGUAAUAC